GAUGAACGCUGGCGGCGUGCCUAAUACAUGCAAGUCGAGCGAACGGACGAGAAGCUUGCUUCUCUGAUGUUUGCGGCGGACGGGUGAGUAACACGUGGAUAACCUACCUAUAUGACUGGGAUAACUUCGGGAGACCGGAGCUAAUACCGGAUAUUAUUUUGAACCUCAUGGUUCAAAAGUGAAAGACGGUCUUGCCGUCACUUAUAGAUGGAUCCGCGCUGCAUUAGCUAGUUGGUAAGGUAACGGCUUACCAAGGCAACGAUGGAUAGCCGACCUGAGAGGGUGAUCGCCCACACGGGAACUGAGACACGGUCAAGACUCCUACGGGAGGAAGCAGUAGGGAACCUUCCGCAAUGGGCGAAGGCCUGACGGAGCAACGCCGCGUGAGUGAUGAAGGUCUUCGGAUCGUAAAACUCUGUUAUUAGGGAAGAACAUAUGUGUAAGUAACUGGGCACAUCUUGACGGUACCUAAUCAGAAAGCCACGGCUAACUACGUG
rnacentral:rRNA from 1 species